rnacentral:misc_RNA from 1 species
AUAUAUCAACCUUCUCUUGUUUGAGAGGUUUGGAUGUGGGGGUUUGCUGGCAUCUUAAAUGAUUCAGCUCCCCUGAAAUGCAUUAGCAGAACAACCUGUUCAUUGGCGUGAUAAUUAUCUAUGCUAUUGAAUGCGAGGGGCAGUUCAGCUUUCUAACCGUCCUUGGACAAUUCAUCAUUA